GCAAGUUAGAUUGCGCUCUUCGUGAACAGCGCUUCGGGGAUGGUUUUUCACCACACCUCAAGUGAUUUUUCGUAAGAGGAAACAACACUGCACAUAUUGGCAUAUUCAUCUAAACGCCAGUGGAUGGAUUCUUAAGCAGUAUAUCACUGCAGAGGUAUUGUUAAAGCUCCUGAAAGCUCUUCCACUGGUGAUGUGUGUGCAAACACCUCUGAGUCUCUGUCCCAUACCUGCUGACCUAGAUAACACUGUAAGUGCUUCCUUUUCCUGCCAAAGCACCAUUUCUAAAUGACACAGCAGACGUGGCAUGCAGUCGUGCUUGACCAAUGAAUGCGACAAAUUUCUCAUCCAACUCAUUCACCUUUACACCUUCAGUAACAAUUGCAAAUGACUUUCUAGUUUUCCAGUGAUAUUUGUCAGUGUUUGAAUAUUUUUUCCUAUCCCAUUUUAAUGUGUAGAGGUGGCUGUCAGUAGGCUAAUUUUCCUUAAAAAUGUCAAAGUGGCUCUGCUUUCCUAUCCCAAACCAAACAAUUAUUAAAAAUUAAGUCCUGGACUAAAUAUCUGAACUAUUUAGAAUUUGUCAUAGUAUAUUUCUAGACAUAUACUGUAUUUUUUUCAAUCCUGUAGUCAUUGAAUAUUCUUUGUCUCUCACUAUAUAAAUAAUUUUUAUUAUUAUAGAUUAACAUUGUUUUAUUAAGGACUAUUUUCUAGGAUUCUGCAAGUAGCAGCACUCGUCCAGCCUCUUAACCUUUCACAUUUGUGUAUUACUUUGCCCAUAUACAGCAACAAGCGGGGGUUACUCCACAGUUUGACAAAUAUUGCAGUUGUUGGAAAACAUAAUGUAAUUUUUAGACUUUUUUAGUCAAGAAUGUAGUUGUUUAGAUUGCAACUAUGCAGU